UUGCAGUGUUGUUGGAUAUAGAGGAGCCAAUAGUCAAAAGCACCAAUUCAAAUUGAAUCCCAAAGCACCUAUUUGGAGUAAGCCUCCAAAUGUUUUGGUGGAAAGUUGCUAGCUUCAGGCUACUGGGGACUUGCAAGGCACUAUAAUUACCUAGCGGAUUACUUGCUAUCACUUUCUUUCAGUUUGGUUUGCGGUUCAGCUCUCCAAUUCCAUACUUCUACCCUAUGGUUCUGAUCGUGUUUUUAUAUCAAGAGAAAGAAGAGAUGAAGCUUCUUGUGCAGAAAAAUAAAAAGAAAUCUGGGCAGAAUACUGCAAAGUUGUUCCAUGGAGAAUCGUGCCAUAUUUGUAUUAAUCAACAUAAUGUUGCAAUA